rnacentral:sRNA from 1 species
AGAAGCGAGCGGCACCCGGGGACCAUCCCACAGCAGAUUCAGUGGCCGCCAACGUCAGGCUGCAGUUGCCUUCUUCGUGGAUGUUGGAUGUGGAAGCCCAGGAGCCCCCCAAGGGGAAAUGGUCGACGCCGCCCUUCGACCCGCGCUUCCCCAACCAGAACCAGACCCGUAACUGUUACCAGAACUUCCUAGGUGAGACCUGUUCAGCCAGGUUAUGCGGGGAGCAGGGUGUGACAAGGGAAGGCAGGGAGGGGCACCCCCACCCUAAGUCCCGCGGAGACCGUUAGGGUGGGAGGCAGGGCGGGUCUGGGUUGGUGGGGCGGGGCCGGGUUGGUGGGGGCGGGGCCGGGUUGGUGGGGCGGGGUCUGGCAGAGAAAAGGCGGGGCUGAGCCUGGAGGGGCGGGGCGAGGUUGGUAGGGGAGAGGCCUGAUCUGGAAGUUGUGGGGCCGAGUCGUGAAGGUGCGGGGCGAGGUAGGUGGGGGCAGGGUCUGGCUAGGAGGAGCAGUGUGAGGGAGGUAGGGAUCGGGGCCUG